AAUUCGAUUAAUUACCACCACCUCUUGUUUCAUAUAAUCAUGUUUGCUUAUAUCAACUUCGUACUGUUGCUGAUUUUGCAAUUUCUUACUUGCUUAAUGAAUUUGGGAAUGCAAAUUUGAUUGUUAAAAGUAUUAUAGUGGCGAAAGAUUGGAACGGCUGCUGAAAGCGUCUUCGCAGGUAUCGACACUUUCGUUUACCGACAAAUCGCAGUUAAGUUCUGAAGCUUCAUUGUAUGUUGUGUUUAUUCAAAUGGUUUCUUUUAGAAGUUUUAGUAUUUAUAGAAGAAUAGAACCGUUUUCUUAUGGGUUCAAUUCUCAAAUUUUGUAACAUAUAUGGUUCCUUUAAAUGCUUUCAUUCUAAACCUAAUUGGGGUUCCGCUGCUUCAGAUAAAACCCCCAAAUUGAAACCAAAUAGGAAUAACAAUAGGGUAGAGAUUUUUUGGGACUUAGAUAACAAGCCACCAAACCCAAUUCCACCUUAUGAAGUUGCCAAUAAGCUUAGAAUUGUUGCAUCUUCAUUUGGGGUUGUUAGGCAUAUGGUAGCUUAUGCAAAUAGCCACACUUUUACCAGUGUCCCAGACGCUGUUUGGUAGAGGAGGAAAGAGAAGGAGCUGUAUAAUCGAUUGGAGAGCAAAGGUGUCAUCAAGCGGAAUGAGCCUCAUGUUUGCAGGAUUUGUGGGAGAAAGUUUUACACUAAUGAGAAGCUUGUUAACCAUUUCAAGCAGCUACACGAGAGCGAGAAAAUGAAAAAGGAGAACCAGAUAGCAUCGAAAAGGGAAAACCGGUGGGUGAAGUUGGUGGCAAAGUAUUCGAUCAAGAUGGAGAACUAUAAGAAGGCUGCAAGGGAUAUUCUUGCUGCAAGGGAUAUUCUUACUCCAAGAGUGGGAUAUGGUUUGGCAGAUGAGCUGAAACGCGCAAGAUUUUGGGUUCAGUCCGUGUUGGAUAAGCCACAAGUACGGAUCAUGCAUUAGAAAGUCACAUGGUGGAUAUGAUGGAUCAUAGGUGGGUUGAAUGCAUAGUACUUGUGUCGGAUGAUUAUGAUUUCGCUAAUGUAAUAAGGGAAGUGAAGCUACGAUGUCUAAAGACAGUUGUCAUUGGGGAUACUAGCGAUGGUGUAUUGAACAGGAUUGCUGAUACCUCCUUUUCUUGGGAGGAAAUUCUAAUGGGGAAAGUUAGAAAAAAGGCUGUAUCGAUUGUUGUGAACUGGAAGGAUCAUGAUAUUUUGAAAAGGAUAGAGUAAAAAUAUAACCCAGAGGUGGAUAAAAGGUAAUAUGAUCCGGCUGAUGUGGUUAUUGAAGAAUUAGAAGAUGAUAAUAUUAAAGGUGUUUGUGAUGAUAUUGAUGAUGACUAUAAGGAUGAUGGAGGUUCUUGGUGGGAGUUAAAUUCCAAUGAAAAUGUCCCAAAUGAUUAGACACAAAAAUCAUAAUUGAAAAUGAGGUACUGCAUGGUGCUUUUUGCAGGCAUUGCAUCUGAAGCUCUUGUUUAUGGUGAGGCAGAGGGGGGAGAAAAUGAUGGAAAUAUAUUCAGAAACAUUUGUCUUCUUUUGGAGCCCCCAUUAUCUUUAGCUGAGGUGUCUCCACAGUGCACAAUCGAUGCCCCUGUUCUGAUGGUAUAUAUUCAUACUUGAUACUGAAAUUUCAACCUUAAUGUUCUUGCCUUGAGAAGAUGUCUAAUCAAGCAAGAUGGUCGGUUUUACAAUCUUAUAAUUUGCUCAAGUGGCACAGAGCUGCGCACCAAGCAACCAUUAAAGUGUUAGAAAUUGGUGCCAGUCUGAGUAUAGUAAUUAGGAGGAUUGAGAAAACUUUGUAUUGCAAGAAAUGAUCCUCAGAAGUUCAGAAUUAUAGACAAAAGUAUUUUGUACAUUCAACCUACUUACAGGGCUAAUAUCUCUUCUCGUCUUACAAGUAUUCAUUCACAAUGGCUUUA